rnacentral:rRNA from 1 species
UACGAAGGGGGCUAGCGUUGCUCGGAAUCACUGGGCGUAAAGGGCGCGUAGGCGGCCUGAUCAGUCGGAGGUGAAAGCCUGUGGCUCAACCACAGAAUGGCCUUCGAUACUGUCGGGCUUGAGACCGGAAGAGGUAAGUGGAACUGCGAGUGUAGAGGUGAAAUUCGUAGAUAUUCGCAAGAACACCAGUGGCGAAGGCGGCUUACUGGUCCGGAUCUGACGCUGAGGCGCGAAAGCGUGGGGAGCAAACAGG